rnacentral:rRNA from 1 species
UACGGAGGGUGCAAACGUUGCUCGGAAUCAUUGGGCGUAAAGCGCACGUAGGUGGCCUGUUAAGUCGGGUGUGAAAUCCCUGGGCUCAACCCAGGAAGUGCACUCGAAACUGGCAGGCUUGAGUACUGAAGAGGGUCGCGGAAUUCCCGGUGUAGAGGUGAAAUUCGUAGAUAUCGGGAGGAACACCAGUGGCGAAGGCGGAUCUCUGGGCCUUACCUGACGCUGAGGCGCGAAAGCUAGAGGAGCGAACAGG